GACGAACGCUGGCGGCGUGCUUAACACAUGCAAGUCGAACGAUGAAGCUGGAGCUUGCUCCGGUGGAUUAGUGGCGAACGGGUGAGUAACACGUGAGAAAUCUGCCCUUGACUCUGGGAUAACUGCGGGAAACUGUAGCUAAUACCGGAUAUUUUCCUUGGUGGGCAUCCACUGGGGAAGAAAGAAUUUCGGUCAAGGAUGAUCUCGCGGCCUAUCAGCUAGUUGGUGAGGUAAUGGCUCACCAAGGCGACGACGGGUAGCCGGCCGGAGAGGGGGACCGGCCACACUGGGACUGAGACACGGCCCAGACUCCUACGGGAGGCAGCAGUGGGGAAUAUUGCACAAUGGGCUCAAGCCUGAUGCAGCAACGCCGCGUGAGGGAUGAAGGCCUUCGGGUUGUAAACCUCUUUUAGCAGGGAAGAAGCGAAAGUGACGGUACCUGCAGAAAAAGCACCGGCUAACUACGUGCCAGCCGCCGCGGUAA
rnacentral:rRNA from 1 species